AUUGAACGCUGGCGGCAUGCUUUACGCAUGCAAGUCGAACGGUAACAGGGAGCUUGCUCCGCUGACGAGUGGCGAACGGGAGAGUAAUGCGUCGGAACGUGCCGAGUAGUGGGGGAUAACGCAGCGAAAGUUGUGCUAAUACCGCAUACGUACUGAGGUAGAAAGUGGGGGACCUUCAGGCCUUACGCUAUUCGAGCGGCCGACGUCUGAUUAGCUAGUUGGUGAGGUAAAGGCUCACCAAGGCGACGAUCAGUAGCGGGUCUGAGAGGAUGAUCCGCCACACUGGGACUGAGACACGGCCCAGACUCCUACGGGAGGCAGCAGUGGGGAAUUUUGGACAAUGGGCGCAAGCCUGAUCCAGCCAUGCCGCGUGUCUGAAGAAGGCCUUCGGGUUGUAAAGGACUUUUGUCCGGGAGCAAAUACCCAGUGCUAAUAACGCUGGGGGCUGAGAGUACCGGAAGAAUAAGCACCGGCUAACUACGUGCCAGCCGCCGCGGUAACAC
rnacentral:rRNA from 1 species